rnacentral:rRNA from 10 species
AAUUGGCCUUAGCACCAUGGACACGUCUGAUCUCGGAAGCUAAGCCUGGUCGGGCCUGGUUAGGACUUGGAUGAGAGACCGCCUGGGAAUACCAGGUGCUGUAAGUG